rnacentral:rRNA from 1 species
AUUGAACGCUGGCGGCAGGCCUAACACAUGCAAGUCGAGCGGAGCGGCGGACGGGUGAGUAAUGCCUAGGAAUCUGCAUGGUAGUGGGGGAUAACGUCCGGAAACGGGAGCUAAUACCGCAUACUAUCAGAUGAGCCUAGGUCGGAUUAGGUAGUUGGAGGGGUAAAGGCCUACCAAGGCGACGAUCCGUAACUGGUCGGAGAGGAUGAUCAGUCACCCUGGAACGUGUACACGGUCCAGGCUCCUACGGGAGGCAGCAGUGGGGAAUAUUGGACAAUGGGCGAAAGCCUUAUCCAGCCAUGCCGCGUGUGUUAAGAAGGUCUUCUGAUUUUAAUGCCCUUUAAGUUGGGAGGCGUUACCAACAGAAUAAGCACCGGCUAACUUCGUGCCAGCCGCCGCGGUAAUUC